UGCAAGUCGAACGGACCUUAUGUGCUUGCACAUAAGGUUAGUGGCAGACGGGUGAGUAACGCGUGGGAAUGUACCCCUUGGUUCGGAAUAACGUUUGGAAACGGACGCUAAUACUGGAUACGUCCGAAAGGAGAAAGAUUUAUUGCCGAGGGAGCGGCCCGCGUUGGAUUAGGUAGUUGGUGAGGUAAAGGCUCACCAAGCCGAUGAUCCAUAGCUGGUUUGAGAGGAUGAUCAGCCACACUGGGACUGAGACACGGCCCAGACUCCUACGGGAGGCAGCAGUGGGGAAUAUUGGACAAUGGGGGCAACCCUGAUCCAGCAAUGCCGCGUGAGUGAUGAAGGCCUUCGGGUUGUAAAGCUCUUUUGUCAGGGACGAUAAUGACGGUACCUGACGAAUAAGCUCCGGCUAACUUCGUGCCAGCAGCCGCGGUAGUACGAA
rnacentral:rRNA from 1 species